rnacentral:ncRNA from 1 species
GCUUCAGGGUAGUGUGUAAUUCAUGACCGGCGGUAAAGUCCGCUAACCUCAUUAAGAGGCCGAUCCGGUGCAAUUCCGGAACCGACGGUAAAGUCCGGAUGAAAGAAGC